rnacentral:rRNA from 1 species
CCUACGGGCGGCAGCAGUGGGGAAUAUUGCGCAAUGGGCGAAAGCCUGACGCAGCGACGCCGCGUGAGGGAUGAAGGUCUUCGGAUCGUAAACCUCUGUCAGCAGGGAAGAACGGUCACUGUGCUAAUCAGUAGUGAAUUGACGGUACCUGCAAAGGAAGCACCGGCUAACUCCGUGCCAGCAGCCGCGGUAAUACGGAGGGUGCGAGCGUUAAGCGGAAUUACUGGGCGUAAAGCGCUCGUAGGCGGUAUUUCAAGUCAAGGGUGAAAUCCCCGCGCUGAACGUGGGAACUGCCUUUGAAACUGGGAGACUGGAGUGUGUGAGAGGAUAGUGGAAUUCCAGGUGUAGGAGUGAAAUCCGUAGAUAUCUGGAGGAACAUCAGUGGCGAAGGCGACUAUCUGGCACAUAACUGACGCUGAGGGGCGAAAGCGUGGGUAGCAAACAGGAUUAGAUACCCCUGUAGUC